GAUGAACGCUGGCGGCGUGCCUAAUACAUGCAAGUCGAGCGAACGGACGAGAAGCUUGCUUUUCUGAUGUUAGCGGCGGACGGGUGAGUAACACGUGGAUAACCUACCUAUAAGACUGGGAUAACUUCGGGAAACCGGAGCUCAUACCGGAUAAUAUUUUGAACCGCAUGGUUCAAAAGUGAAAGACGGUCUUGCUGUCACUUAUAGAUGGAUCCGCGCUGCAUUAGCUAGUUGGUAAGGUAACGGCUUACCAAGGCAACGAUGCAUAGCCGACCUGAGAGGGUGAUCGUACACACUGGAACUAGUACCAGGUCCAGACUCCUACGCGAGGCAGCAGUAGGGAAUCUUCCGCAAUGGGCGAAAGCCUGACGGAGCAACGCCGCGUGAGUGAUGAAGGUCUUCGGAUCGUAAAACUCUGUUAUUAGAGAAGAACAUAUGUGUAAGUAACUGUGCACAUCUUGACGGUACCUAAUCAGAAAGCCACGGCUAACUACGUG
rnacentral:rRNA from 1 species